rnacentral:rRNA from 1 species
UACGUAGGGUGCAAGCGUUAAUCGGAAUUACUGGGCGUAAAGCGUGCGCAGGCGGUGAUGUAAGACAGAUGUGAAAUCCCCGGGCUCAACCUGGGAACUGCAUUUGUGACUGCAUCACUGGAGUACGGCAGAGGGGGAUGGAAUUCCGCGUGUAGCAGUGAAAUGCGUAGAUAUGCGGAGGAACACCGAUGGCGAAGGCAAUCCCCUGGGCCUGUACUGACGCUCAUGCACGAAAGCGUGGGGAGCAAACAGG